rnacentral:rRNA from 1 species
UAAGGAAUAUUGGUCAAUGGACGCAAAUCUGAACCAGCCAUGCCGCGUGAAGGAUGAAGGUCCUCUGGAUUGUAAACUUCUUUUAUCUGGGACGAAAACGGGAUUUUUAUCUCAAUUGACGGUACCAGAGGAAUAAGCACCGGCUAACUCCGUGCCAGCAGCCGCGGUAAUACGGAGGGUGCGAGCGUUAUCCGGAUUUACUGGGUUUAAAGGGUGCGUAGGUGGGCUUAUAAGUCAGUGGUGAAAUCUCCGAGCUUAACUUGGAAACUGCCGUUGAUACUAUAGGUUGUGAAUUAUCUGGAGGUAAGCGGAAUAUGUCAUGUAGCGGUGAAAUGCUUAGAUAUGACAUAGAACACCAAUUGCGAAGGCAGCUUACUACAUAUAAAUUGACGCUGAGGCACGAAAGCGUGGGGAUCAAACA